CGCGGCCUAUCAGCUUGUUGGUGGGGUAACGGCCUACCAAGGCGACGACGGGUAGCUGGUCUGAGAGGACGACCAGCCACACUGGAACUGAGAUACGGUCCAGACUCCUACGGGAGGCAGCAGUGGGGAAUCUUGCAUAAUGGGCGAAAGCCUGAUGCAGCGACGCCGCGUGGGGGACGAAUGCCUUCGGGUUGUAAACCCCUUUCGGCAGGGACGAAGCGCAAGUGACGGUACCUGCAGAAGAAGCUCCGGCUAACUACGUGCCAGCAGCCGCGGUAAGACGUAGGGAGCGAGCGUUGUCCGGAUUCAUUGGGCGUAAAGCGCGCGUAGGCGGUUUGGCAAGUCGGAUGUGAAAUCCCGAGGCUCAACCUCGGGACUGCAUCCGAUACUGCCCGACUAGAGGUAGGUAGGGGAGAUCGGAAUUCCUGGUGUAGCGGUGAAAUGCGCAGAUAUCAGGAGGAACACCGGUGGCGAAGGCGGAUCUCUGGGCCUUACCUGACGCUGAGGCGCGAAAGCUAGGGGAGCGAACAGGAUUAGAUACCCUGGUAGUCCUAGCCGUAAACGUUGGGUGCUAGGUGUGGGCGGAUAUCGACCCCGUCCGUGCCGAAGCUAACGCAUUAAGCACCCCGCCUGGGGAGUACGG
rnacentral:rRNA from 1 species